AUUGAACGCUGGCGGCAUGCCUUGCACAUGCAAGUCGAACGGCAGCACGGGUGCUUGCACCUGGUGGCGAGUGGCGAACGGGUGAGUAAUACAUCGGAACAUGUCCUGUAGUGGGGGAUAGCCCGGCGAAAGCCGGAUUAAUACCGCAUACGAUCUACGGAUGAAAGCGGGGGACCUUCGGGCCUCGCGCUAUAGGGUUGGCCGAUGGCUGAUUAGCUAGUUGGUGGGGUAAAGGCCUACCAAGGCGACGAUCAGUAGCUGGUCUGAGAGGACGACCAGCCACACUGGGACUGAGACACGGCCCAGACUCCUACGGGAGGCAGCAGUGGGGAAUUUUGGACAAUGGGCGAAAGCCUGAUCCAGCAAUGCCGCGUGUGCGAAGAAGGCCUUCGGGUUGUAAAGCACUUUUGUCCGGAAAGAAAUCCUUGGCCCUAAUACGGUCGGGGGAUGACGGUACCGGAAGAAUAAGCACCGGCUAACUACGUG
rnacentral:rRNA from 1 species